rnacentral:rRNA from 1 species
UACAGAGGUCUCAAGCGUUGUUCGGAUUCAUUGGGCGUAAAGGGUGCGUAGGCGGAUUGUUAAGUCAGGGGUGAAAUCCUGGAGCUCAACUCCAGAACUGCCUUUGAUACUGGCGAUCUUGAGUCCGGGAGAGGUGAGUGGAACUGCGAGUGUAGAGGUGAAAUUCGUAGAUAUUCGCAAGAACACCAGUGGCGAAGGCGGCUCACUGGCCCGGUACUGACGCUGAGGCACGAAAGCGUGGGGAG